GACGAACGCUGGCGGCGUGCCUAAUACAUGCAAGUAGAACGCUGAAGGAGGAGCUUGCUUCUCUGGAUGAGUUGCGAACGGGUGAGUAACGCGUAGGUAACCUGCCUGGUAGCGGGGGAUAACUAUUGGAAACGAUAGCUAAUACCGCAUAAUAGUAGAUGUUGCAUGACAUUUGCUUAAAAGGUGCAAUUGCAUCACUACCAGAUGGACCUGCGUUGUAUUAGCUAGUUGGUGGGGUAACGGCCCACCAAGGCGACGAUACAUAGCCGACCUGAGAGGGUGAUCGGCCACACUGGGACUGAGACACGGCCCAGACUCCUACGGGAGGCAGCAGUAGGGAAUCUUCGGCAAUGGACGGAAGUCUGACCGAGCAACGCCGCGUGAGUGAAGAAGGGUUUCGGAUCGUAAAGCUCUGUUGUAAGAGAAGAACGAGUGUGAGAGUGGAAAGUUCACACUGUGACGGUAGCUUACCAGAAAGGGACGGCUAACUACGUG
rnacentral:rRNA from 1 species